UUCGAUGUUUCCCUCGUUUCUGUAGUCAGAGUCUGCGCGAUAAUGGUCUCACUCCAUCGUUUCUAUCACCAUUAGUGAUUUUCCAAUAUUUAUCUCACUAGAGACAGCUCUAGAUUAUUCGUAAAUUUACAAACUCACAUGUGCCAAGUUCUGAGCGCCGCUUGUGAAACUUCAUCAUUCAAAAAUACUCUCAUAUUUAAGUUACAGAAACUAUCAGCAAGAUUCCCAGAGUUCAGGUUGCCAUUAGUGAGUUCCCAACUUGACAAUGCUUGCCGGAACCCAAUGAAAAAUUUUUACAUACAUGGAUUAAUGUGACGAAACCAUGUACUUGAUGAGGAUGACGGUCAAGACCAGGUUGGGGUUCAAUGUCAAGACAAAACGACAUGUUUCAAUCUCAUUUUCCAAAAAUAUCAUAGUAGCGAAUGAUGCAAUUGGGCUGGACAAGGAAAUUCUUAUCAGAAUCCGAUAAGGGAAGCCUGAUCAGGGUCAGAGGCGUGCUGAGCGUUACAGACCCAUGAUGAGAAACAACCGGGUGUAUCUCUUCCCGUAAAGAAAGGCAAGAGGGAGGGAGAGAGAAAAAGAGAGAAGAAAAAAUACUCCCUUUUAACGAAAACGGGAAACUUUAAUGCGUCCCACGAGGGUGAGUUAUGUGGGGCUGGGUUACUCUAGUGGAGAACCAGAAAAUGUAUUCGCGCAGCAUCUCUACGACGACUCUAGUGAGAGAAAUGGAAACAAAGAAUGAGAACGAGAGACGAAUGAUGUUUCUACGGGGGAAAGUUUAAAUAUGCGCUUCAAUUUGCAAUUUAAUUGUAACAUAUUCAGCGCCGAGAACUGCACAGAAAGGAAAGAAAAAAAGAAAACAGUGCUAAAAAUUCUUCCCUGUCGAGCAAGAUCGUGUGUAAAAAAAUUAGUGGAACAGUGGAUGAAAAAAUAAAACGCAAAUAUCGUGCUUAUACCAAAUAUUGCUUACAUGCCCAUGGAAUAAAAUGCCAAGUACUCUAUUGAAUUCAACCUUUUGUUUGAAUUUUUACACCUGCAGAAGUUGUUAAAUGUAGCCGCACAUAGAUGUGGGCCUGGAGCAUCAUAGCUUUUCCGUUUCCACGCGUUUUAACUGAAUAAUAUCCGCAAAGUGUACACAUAGAGAAAGCCAGUAGAAAUACUGCCUGGAUGGUACGACGUCGAGGGCAG
rnacentral:lncRNA from 1 species